rnacentral:tRNA from 1 species
GGCGAAUUGGUCGAGUGGUUAACACUCCGGCCUUCCAAGCAGGCGGCUGGGGUUCGAUCCCCGAAGUCGCCG